rnacentral:rRNA from 1 species
ACGCUGGCGGCAGGCCUAACACAUGCAAGUCGAGCGGAAACGACUUAACUGAACCUUCGGGGAACGUUAAGGGCGUCGAGCGGCGGACGGGUGAGUAAUGCCUAGGAAAUUGCCCUGAUGUGGGGGAUAACCAUUGGAAACGAUGGCUAAUACCGCAUGAUGCCUACGGGCCAAAGAGGGGGACCUUCGGGCCUCUCGCGUCAGGAUAUGCCUAGGUGGGAUUAGCUAGUUGGUGAGGUAAUGGCUCACCAAGGCGACGAUCCCUAGCUGGUCUGAGAGGAUGAUCAGCCACACUGGAACUGAGACACGGUCCAGACUCCUACGGGAGGCAGCAGUGGGGAAUAUUGCACAAUGGGCGCAAGCCUGAUGCAGCCAUGCCGCGUGUGUGAAGAAGGCCUUCGGGUUGUAAAGCACUUUCAGUCGUGAGGAAGGURGUAGUGUUAAUAGCACUAUCAUUUGACGUUAGCGACAGAAGAAGCACCGGCUAACUCCGUGCCAGCAGCCGCGGUAAUACGGAGGGUGCGAGCGUUAAUCGGAAUUACUGGGCGUAAAGCGCAUGCAGGUGGUUUGUUAAGUCAGAUGUGAAAGCCCGGGGCUCAACCUCGGAAUAGCAUUUGAAACUGGCAGACUAGAGUACUGUAGAGGGGGGUAGAAUUUCAGGUGUAGCGGUGAAAUGCGUAGAGAUCUGAAGGAAUACCGGUGGCGAAGGCGGCCCCCUGGACA